UACGUAGGGUGCGAGCGUUUGUCCGGAAUUAUUGGGCGUAAAGAGCUUGUAGGCGGUUUGUCGCGUCUGCUGUGAAAAUCCGGGGCUCAACCCCGGACUUGCAGUGGGUACGGGCAGACUAGAGUGUGGUAGGGGAGACUGGAAUUCCUGGUGUAGCGGUGAAAUGCGCAGAUAUCAGGAGGAACACCAGUGGCGAAGGCGGUGGUCUGGGCCGGUACUGACGCUGUAGAGCGAAAGCGUGGGGAGCGAACAGG
rnacentral:rRNA from 1 species